AUUGAACACUGGCGGCAGGCCUAACACAUGCGAGUCGAGCGGAUGAAGGGAGCUUGCUCCUGGAUUCAGCGGCGGACGGGUGAGUAAUGCCUAGGAAGCUGCCUGGUAGUGGGGGAUAACGUCCGGAAACGGGCGCUAAUACCGCAUACGUCCUGAGGGAGAAAGUGGGGGAUCUUCGGACCUCACGCUAUCAGAUGAGCCUAGGUCGGAUUAGCUAGUUGGUUGGGUAAAGGCCUACCAAGGCGACGAUCCGUAACUGGUCUGAGAGGAUGAUCAGUCACACUGGAACUGAGACACGGUCCAGACUCCUACGGGAGGCAGCAGUGGGGAAUAUUGGACAAUGGGCGAAAGCCUGAUCCAGCCAUGCCGCGUGUGUGAAGAAGGUCUUCGGAUUGUAAAGCACUUUAAGUUGGGAGGAAGGGCAGUAAGUUAAUACCUUGCUGUUUUGACGUUACCAACAGAAUAAGCACCGGCUAACUUCGUG
rnacentral:rRNA from 1 species